rnacentral:rRNA from 1 species
UACGUAGGGUGCAAGCGUUGUCCGGAAUUAUUGGGCGUAAAGAGCUCGUAGGCGGUCUGUUGCGUCCGCUGUGAAAACCCGGGGCUUAACCCCUGGCUUGCAGUGGAUACGGACAGACUAGAGGUAGGUAGGGGAGAAUGGAAUUCCCGGUGUAGCGGUGAAAUGCGCAGAUAUCAGGAGGAACACCGGUGGCGAAGGCGGGUCUCUGGGCCGAUACUGACGCUGAGGAGCGAAAGCGUGGGGAGCGAACAGG